rnacentral:rRNA from 1 species
GAUGAACGCUGGCGGCGUGCCUAAUACAUGCAAGUCGAGCGAAUGGAUUAAGAGCUUGCCCUUAUGAAGUUAGCGGCGGACGGGUGAGUAACACGUGGGUAACCUGCCCAUAAGACUGGGAUAACUCCGGGAAACCGGGGCUAAUACCGGAUAACAUUUUGAACCGCAUGGUUCGAAAUUGAAAGGCGGCUUCGGCUGUCACUUAUGGAUGGACCCGCGUCGCAUUAGCUAGUUGGUGAGGUAACGGCUCACCAAGGCAACGAUGCGUAGCCGACCUGAGAGGGUGAUCGGCCACACUGGGACUGAGACACGGCCCAGACUCCUACGGGAGGCAGCAGUAGGGAAUCUUCCGCAAUGGACGAAAGUCUGACGGAGCAACGCCGCGUGAGUGAUGAAGGCUUUCGGGUCGUAAAACUCUGUUGUUAGGGAAGAACAAGUGCUAGCUGAAUAAGCUGGCACCUUGACGGUACCUAACCAGAAAGCCACGGCUAACUACGUGCCAGCCGCCGCUGUAA